AUUGAACGCUGGCGGCAGGCCUAACACAUGCAAGUCGAACGAGUGGCGGACGGGUGAGUAAUGUCUGGGAAACUGCCCGAUGGCGGGGGAUAACUACUGGAAACGGUAGCUAAUACCGCAUACCAUCGGAUGUGCCCAGAUGGGAUUAGCUAGUAGGUGGGGUAAAGGCUCACCUAGGCGACGAUCCCUAGCUGGUCUGAGAGGAUGACCAGCCACACUGGAACUGAGACACGGUCCAGACUCCUACGGGAGGCAGCAGUGGGGAAUAUUGCACAAUGGGCGCAAGCCUGAUGCAGCCAUGCCGCGUGUAUGAAGAAGGCCUUCGGGUUGUAAAGUACUUUCAGCGAGGAGGCGGUACUUGCAGAAGAAGCACCGGCUAACUCCGUGCCAGCCGCCGCGGUAAUUC
rnacentral:rRNA from 1 species